rnacentral:rRNA from 1 species
AAUACCCUAUUAUUUUAAAAGUAGUUUAUAAAACCUAAUUAGUAUGAGUUAAGUUCUUGAAAAUUAAAGAAUUUGGCGGUAUUUUAGUCUAUUCAGAGGAAUCUGUCCUAUAAUUGAUAAUCCACGAUUUUUUAUACCUGUAUUAUUAAUUUACAUAUCGCCGUAGUUUGAAUAUUUUUUGAAAAUUAAAAUAUUCAUAAUUUAUUUUAAUAAAAGAAAUCAGGUCAAGGUGUAGUUUAUAUGCAGGAAGAGAUGGGUUACAAUAAACGUAUUUAUUAUGGAUUAAUAAAUUAAAAUUUUUUAUGAAGGUGGAUUUGAUAGUAAUUUUAUUUA